rnacentral:rRNA from 1 species
ACUAGCCGUUACCUUGUCUCGGGCUACACACGUACUACAAUGGCCGUUACAACGGGAAGCGAAGGAGCAAUCCGGAGCAAAUCCCUUAAAAGGCGGUCCCAGUUCAGAUUGUGGGCUGAAACUCGCCCACAUGAAGGCGGAAUUGCUAGUAAUUGCAGAUCAGCAUGCUGCAGUGAAUACGUUCCCGGGCCUU